rnacentral:rRNA from 1 species
UGGGGAAUCUUCCGCAAUGGGGGGCGAAAGCCUGACGGAGCAACGCCGCGUGAGUGAAGAAGGUCUUCGGAUCGUAAAGCUCUGUUGAGAGGGACGAGAGAUUACUUCAGGAAAUGGGAGUAAGAGGACGGUACCUUUCGAGGAAGCCACGGCUAACUACGUGCCAGCAGCCGCGGUAAUACGUAGGUGGCGAGCGUUGUCCGGAAUUAUUGGGCGUAAAGGGAGCGCAGGUGGGACUUCAAGUCAGUCUUAAAAGUGCGGGGCUCAACCCCGUGAUGGGAUUGAAACUGUCUCCCUUGAGUGAGCGAGAAGUAAGCGGAAUGCGUGGUGUAGCGGUGAAAUGCAUAGAUAUCACGCAGAACGCCGAUUGCGAAGGCAGCUUACCGGCGCUCAACUGACGCUCAGGCACGAAAGUGCGGGUAUCGAACAGGAUUAGAUACCCUGGUAGU